UGGGGAAUAUUGGGCAAUGGACGCAAGUCUGACCCAGCAACGCCGCGUGAAGGAAGAAGGUUUUCGGAUUGUAAACUCCUUUUGUUAGAGAAGAUAAUGACGGUAUCUAACGAAUAAGCACCGGCUAACUACGUGCCAGCAGCCGCGGUAAUACGUAGGGAGCAAGCGUUAUCCGGAUUUAUUGGGUGUAAAGGGUGCGUAGGCGGUUUAAUAGGUCUGUGGUCUAAGUCCGAAGCUUAACUUCGGUUCGCCAUAGAAACCGUUAAACUUGAGUAUGGUAGAGGCAAGUGGAAUUUCUAGUGUAGCGGUAAAAUGCGUAGAUAUCACGCAGAACUCCGAUUGCGAAGGCAGCAUACCGGCGCCCUACUGACGCUGAGGCACGAAAGCGUGGGUAUCGAACAGG
rnacentral:rRNA from 1 species